UAAAUGUACACUAUUUCCUGCUGCCAGAGACACAAACCCUGGGCUGGAUGAAUAUUUGGUCUGCUCUAGUACUUACGAAGUUACAGUUCUGAAGUUUCACAAAUGUGACAGCUGCACAUCUCUCCAUGAUGAUGAAGUCAGAUGAUUAUCAUGGUUCAGGUGCUGUAUCUUCUCUGGACCUCUUCCCACAGCAAGUAUUUAGGGGGACUCACCUUGGUUUAUCACCCUAUGCUAAGCACGGCAUGAAGAAGACAGAACAGACCAAACAGGCAUUGAACCACUACUUAAAGUUACCUGAGAAAAAGCUAUUUGGGAUUCUGAGCUGUGGCUGCAGCUCCUGGACCUGCCUCAAACUGUCCAUGUAACCUUGGGACUAUGACUUCAUUCCUUGGAGUUCCCAACUGGAAGAGAUGAGGAAGAAACCCAACUUUCACGUAGAGGAGACAGCCCUGGAUUUCUAGACCUCGGUUCCUAUCCAUCCUCCACAUACAUAGAGCACCAGCUAAUGCUUCCUUUCACACUUCGUCCUUCCAGCCUCUGUAAUUUACAGACUUCAGAAGUUUUAACUGAAUGUUACUAUAAGCCAUCAGUUAGUGUUGUUUCAGACCAGAGUCUAGUUGGAGGUGUUUAGAAACACAGAGCAAUGCUAGGCUGUAAUUCCAUCAUGCUCAGAACUGAACACAGCAGGAAAGCAGAGAAACCAUCCACUGUAAACAUCCACUGUAACUUUGACCAUACUGAGCUCACUGAAGAAUAAGGCUUUGUAUAUGCCUUUCCUAGCAGCUCCCAGGUUUAGUUCCCCUGAACUUGUUUUAUAACAAAUGCCUGAGAAACUUCCAAGGUAAAACUGGAAAAUAUCACACACUAUUCCAUAGCCAUCUCUGUUUAAUUCUGUUUUGUACAGAGGCAGCCUCAGCUCAGUACUUUACACUGGUGUUAUCUGAUCCUGAACAUCUGUAGAUAAGCAUAGGAUGUGUUGGGGAUUUAGGACUUUACACACUGGCACUCAGAAGGAACUGGGCACUGCACUCG
ensembl:lncRNA